rnacentral:rRNA from 1 species
AUGAAAGCAUUGGUGUGUGAGAUGGUUUCUUGGUCUGAGCAUGGAUGCAUGAAGUUAGCCGUGUUGCGGUGUUUGUAUCAUAUUGAUGCUUAUUUAUUAAGCUCCACUUUUCGAAAAUUUAUUAAGCUCCAAAGUCCAAACAAUAUAGUGUCAUUUUCCCUUGAACGUCCUUCAUUCUUAAGCACCGCUGACUUGCUAGAAAUUACUCAUUUGCAUCUGCUAGUGAUAUGUUCUGAUCUGAAUCUUCCGUCAUUCAUACGCAGUACGAGUAUUAUUGGUGAAAAGUCGCAAAACUUUAUGAUGUGCCACGAGAAAGAUCCAACAGCUAAGUGA